AGAUCCCCAAGGUGAACCAAUUUUGGGUGAACCAUGUUUGCCUGGACAGUGUGGUGGUUUUUCAUGUAUCUCCAUGACUUGUAUUGAAUUUUUCAGGGUCAUACCUCAUGCUGGAGGAACUAGGAGAUUUCCUGAUCUCUUCUGUAUGAAUUAAUGAUUUGUUAAAGGACUUCACUUCACUUUGAAAUGCCACCAGAAAUGACAUGAUGCAAAAUCCACCCAAGUUCCACUUUCAUCCUAAAUGGCUGGUUGCCACUGGUAUUGCCUUUAGAAACAAACGGAGAUCUAUGUGUCCUCUCCAAACG